GCACUGCUGAGGAGUGCCACAAUAGGACGAAACGGCCGUCCAGUAC
rnacentral:hammerhead_ribozyme from 1 species